rnacentral:rRNA from 1 species
ACGGAAGGCAGCAGUAGGGAAUAUUGCACAAUGGGGGGAACCCUGAUGCAGCAACGCCACGUGUGGGAAGAAGCAUUUCGGUGUGUAAACCACUGUCGUGAGGGAAUAAUGCUUGGCUCCGGCCAAGUUGAAUGUACCUCGAGAGGAAGCACCGGCAAACUUCGUGCCAGCAGCCGCGGUAAUACGAGGGGUGCAAGCGUUGUUCGGAAUCACUGGGCGUAAAGGGAGCGUAGGCGGAGAUGCAAGCAGUCUGUACAAUACCGGGGCCCAACCCCGGACCUGCAGUCCGGACUGCACCUCUUGGAUAGUUCAGGGGCAAGCGGAAUUCCUGGUGUAGCGGUGGAAUGCGUAGAGAUCAGGAAGAACACCGAUGCCGAAGGCAGCUUGCUGGGGACUAAUCGACGCUCAUGCUCGAAAGUGCGGGUAGCAAACAGGAUUAGAUACCCUGGUA